rnacentral:lncRNA from 1 species
UAGCUUCAACUGCGCAGCUUCUCACCAGAGAGGACGCCUGCUACAGACUCACGCAAAUGAAAACCAUCGCGUACACCCUCGCUAUCAUCGCUUCAUCCAUAGCUUUGGGCAGCGACUUCACUUCAUCAGUUGUUAUUGUUUAAAUUUUGGUUCCUUCUUAAGAUAUCUCGUUCAAGUUUUGUUUUGGUGGUUCGAGUAUCGUAUCAAUUAAUGUUCAUUCUGCAAUAUAUUGGAUUUUUUUUUGGUCCAUAGGAAGCGAC